rnacentral:tRNA from 1 species
GCGGAGGUGGCCGAGCGGUCAAAGGCGCAGGCCUGAGGCGCCUGUCCCGUAGGGGUUCGUGGGUUCGAAUCCCACCCUCCGCACCA